CUUGCCUAAAAAAACGACGGCAAGAAAUAGUUAGCUUGCCAUCUUCGCUGUCAGAGGAUGCUGUGACCGCGUCUCCAUGGUGACGCUGACAGAGAACGAUCCAUCACAGCCGGGUGACGCGGAGACUGUCUGUCAGAUGGAGCUCUCUCCCGCUCGCUCUCUGUCUUCAUGACACCUGUAAGUGGUGCAGGUGAAGUCGCUCUAAGCAGACCUCUGUUGACAGUGUAAACACACACAGCAGGAAGAUCGGCCUUAUUGUGACGCAGGAGUGGCAGGAAACGCCUCUGGAUUUAUAUCAUAAGCAAAAAGAAACUCUCUAGUUGGCUUUAUGUUCCAUUUCUCAAUGAAAAACGCGGAAAAUGCACCUCAAAGUGGACUUUUUGUGUUUUAUUCAGACAGGGAGACUUCGAGGCCUGAACCUGUAGGCUUUAGAUACUGGAAAACACCUGAAAAAACACCAUCCGUCCUCCAUCAGGCUUCGGGAUCCGUGAGGUCUGAGGGAGGACGAAAUGGACCACAAGCCUGGAAUCCGAAAGCCGAGAUAGACACAUGCCACGCUGGACCACAUCCCAUGUUGAGAAAUCCCACAUGCAGGCGUGGAAGUGCGCCGGAGUCCUUCAGCUCCUCGAUAUCGUCCAUCACUAUCACUUCCAGGAAGGUCACGCACACAAACUCCAGGCCUCUGAGUCCAGCGAUGAAUAGCCUUGCCGAUGGACACAGAAAAGCUUUAGUGGUCAAAGUCACUGAACAGAGGACGAAAAGCACUUCCAGUCUGCCCAUCGCCUCGACCUCUGGCUCUGAUCAUGAAGAGAUGGACCAUGGUGUGGUCCUGAGAAGAAAGGCAACCAUUGUGAAAAUGACCGAACAGAGAGAGCGUUUCAGUCCAGUGAAAUACAGACACAGCUACACUGAAGGACUCCAUAAUGAAUCUAAAGUCAAUCCCUCACCAUUAAACCAACCGUUAACUAUAUCUCUAGAGCCAGGAGGAAACCAGUGGAGGUCCCAGCACAGAUCUAGCCUAUCUCUCUACCUCAACAACCCAAACGAUAGCAGCGCAGUAGGGGAGAGCAACACCAAAACACACAAGCCACCUCGAAGGCCUCUCAGCUGCGACGCAAGCCUGUUUAACCACACAGAACUUGGCAGUAAUGCAGUUACACAGCCAGCGUUUCACAACAAGAGCUCUCCUGUUCCCCAGAAGACAAAUAUUGACCUUGUUAGUUCCAGCAGCAGCGAAGCAAGAAGGCGCUGGGCCUCCGGUGGCGAGGAUGGGAGCGAGAGGAAAGAGUGGAAUCGUGAGGAACCUAUUUCAGGAAUCAAUCCUCUCAAACUACUAAAAGCACCAGGUACCAGCAGAACCCGCGUGGAUAUGCGGCGGUAGACACACAAGAGCACACUCUAGACUGAGGCUGCGCGGUGCCGCUUUGAUGUAUAAUGGAUGAGUAUUAUCGUGCGAGAGAGCAGAGGUUUUUAAUUGAGGCUUUUCACGGCAGAUACGCACGGUAGAGGUGGACGGCCCUGAAACAGGAGAUUUCUCCGCUGUCUCUCUCUCUCUGUCUUGCGUUUUUUCAUCUUUUCAUUUUCCCACGCAUCUCUUUGCAUGCAUAAUCUAUUUCUACCCUGCUUUCAAUACCGGUUUUUGAGCUUCCGUGGGAAUUUAGAGCUGCUGCACACAGAGAGAAAUCUGACAGCCAGUGAAAAACAUGCGUACACACAUUUAACUAUCUGAGGACAUGCAUAGAUGACUACUGUUUGAAAUAAAGUCACUUAGAAUUAUUUCA
ensembl:lncRNA